GUGACGAAGCCGUGUCUGAAACCUAUAAGGCCAUUAUCUUGCUCAAUUCAAUCCCGGACUCUUAUAAAGAAGUUAAAAAUGCCAUUAAGUAUGGUAGGGACACGUUAACACCUGAAAUUGUCGUAGAUUCUCUUAGAAGUAAGGAGAUGGAAAUGAGGGCUGAAAAAUAGGAUAGGAGGAGUGGAGAGUUGCAUAUGAUGCAGGGUAGAACUCACUUUAGGCAAGCC
rnacentral:lncRNA from 1 species